rnacentral:tRNA from 1 species
GAGGGUAUUGCUCAGUGGUGGAGCACAUGCUUAGCAUGCACGAGGUCCUGGGUUUGAUCCCCAGUACCUGCA